CCUACGGGAGGCAGCAGUGGGGAAUAUUGCACAAUGGGGGAAACCCUGAUGCAGCGACGCCGCGUGAGUGAAGAAGGACUUCGUUACGUAAAGCUCUAUCAGCAGGGAAGAAAAUGACGGUACCUGAGGAAGAAGCCCCGGCUAACUACGUGCCAGCAGCCGCGGUAAUACGUAGGGGGCAAGCGUUAUCCGGAUUUACUGGGUGUAAAGGGAGCGUAGACGGUGCGCGAAGUCUGGAGUGAAAUGCCGCAGCUUAACUGGGGUAAAGCUUUGGAAACUGGCGAACUAGAGUGCGGGAGGGGUGAGCGGAAUUCCUAGUGUAGCGGUGAAAUGCGUAGAUAUUAGGAGGAACACCGGUGGCGAAGGCGGCUUACUGGACCGUAACUGACAUUGAUGCUCGAAAGUGUGGGUAUCAAACAGGAGUAGAUACCCGUGUAGUC
rnacentral:rRNA from 1 species